GUGGGGAAUUUUGGACAAUGGGCGCAAGCCUGAUCCAGCAAUGCCGCGUGCAGGAAGAAGGCCUUCGGGUUGUAAACUGCUUUUGUACGGAACGAAACGGUCCGGGUUAAUACCCUGGGCUAAUGACGGUACCGUAAGAAUAAGCACCGGCUAACUACGUGCCAGCAGCCGCGGUAAUACGUAGGGUGCAAGCGUUAAUCGGAAUUACUGGGCGUAAAGCGUGCGCAGGCGGUUUUGUAAGACAGGCGUGAAAUCCCCGGGCUCAACCUGGGAAUUGCGCUUGUGACUGCAAGGCUGGAGUGCGGCAGAGGGGGAUGGAAUUCCGCGUGUAGCAGUGAAAUGCGUAGAUAUGCGGAGGAACACCGAUGGCGAAGGCAGCCUCCUGGGAUAACACUGACGCUCAGGCACGAAAGCGUGGGGAGCAAACAGGAUUAGAUACCCCGGUAGUCC
rnacentral:rRNA from 1 species